rnacentral:lncRNA from 1 species
UAGUAAUUUGUAGAUUCUGAUUUCUACAGAUUUUAGAGCGAUAGGUUAAGCGCGGAAUGUGAAUUUUAAAUAUUUUUAAGAGUGCUAUUAUUUACGUAGAUCACGUAUUCUAAACAUAGUAGAUUCAAUAAAAAAUAGGUUUUAUUUUCUACUUUGUAGAAUGUCAAUUCUACUUUAUGUAGUAUAUAAUUUGAAGUUAUGAUUUAAACAUUUUUAAAUCUGGAAAAAAUACCACUAAGUUCUUUUUUUAACACUGAAUCAUUCAUUGUAAUAUAAGUUCAUGACUAAAUUGGU